UCCGGGCGCCCAACCUCCCACCCGUGACUACCUAACACUGUUGCUUCGGCGGGGAGCCCUCUCGGGGGCGAGCCGCCGGGGACUACUGAACUUCAUGCCUGAGAGUGAUGCAGUCUGAGUCUGAAUAUAAAAUCAGUCAAAACUUUCAACAAUGGAUCUCUUGGUUCCGGCAUCGAUGAAGAACGCAGCGAACUGCGAUAAGUAAUGUGAAUUGCAGAAUUCAGUGAAUCAUCGAGUCUUUGAACGCACAUUGCGCCCCCUGGCAUUCCGGGGGGCAUGCCUGUCCGAGCGUCAUUGCUGCCCAUCAAGCCCGGCUUGUGUGUUGGGUCGUCGUCCCCCCCGGGGGACGGGCCCGAAAGGCAGCGGCGGCACCGUGUCCGGUCCUCGAGCGUAUGGGGCUUUGUCACCCGCUCGAUUAGGGCCGGCCGGGCGCCAGCCGACGUCUCCAACCAUUUUCUUCAGGUUGACCUCGGAUCAGGUAGGGAUACCCGCUGAACUUAAGCAUAUCAAUAAGCCGGGAGGA
rnacentral:rRNA from 1 species